UACAGAGGGUGCGAGCGUUGUUCGGAAUUAUUGGGCGUAAAGGGCGCGUAGGCGGUGCGGUAAGUCACCUGUGAAAUCUCCUGGCUCAACUGGGAGCUUGCAGGCGAAACUGCCGUGCUGGAGUGUGGGAGAGGUGCGUGGAAUUCCUGGUGUAGCGGUGAAAUGCGUAGAUAUCAGGAGGAACACCUGUGGUGUAGACAGCUUACUGGACCAUUUCUGACGCUGAGACACGAAAGCGUGGGUAGCAAACAGG
rnacentral:rRNA from 1 species